UUCAUAAACAUGGAAACAGGUGCCGCAGCGCGGGAGCAGUAGCUUUCGCCCGCAGCGGUUAAAAGGGAAGUCCGGUGAAAUUCCGGCACGGACCCGCCACUGUAACAAGCGUUCCGCCUUCGGCAGUCUUUAAGCAUGCCGUAUCUUCGGAACAUGCCGCGCACAGAUGCUGUCACUGGAGCUUCAUACUCCGGGAAGACAUGCACGGCAGCAGCUUGAAGCCAGGAAACCUGCCUGUUUCAGGACGCUGUA
rnacentral:ncRNA from 1 species